rnacentral:rRNA from 1 species
UACGGAGGAUGCAAGCGUUAUCCGGAAUGAUUGGGCGUAAAGCGUCCGCAGGUGGUAUUUCAAGUCUGCUGUCAAAGAAUUUGGCUUAACCAAAUAAAGGCAGUGGAAACUGAAAAACUAGAGUGCGUUCGGGGUAGAGGGAAUUCCUGGUGUAGCGGUGAAAUGCGUAGAGAUUGGGAAGAACAUCGGUGGCGAAAGCGCUCUGCUGGGCUGAAUCUGACCCUGAGGGACGAAAGCUAGGGGAGCAAAAGGG